UAUUAUUUAUAAUAAUUACUCAUGUGAAGUUAACUUCAUUUUGUUAGUGCUUUGCAAAUUUAUCGUGCUAAUAGUAAUUCUAAAGUGCCUAAAGUGUCAAAGUCAAAGAAAAUCUCAUGGCAAAAAAUAAAGUGUCCCCGACAAAUUAAUAUCAUUGAUUGUGGAUAUUUUGUAAUGCGAUUUAUGAAAGAGGUCAUCAUGGAAAAUGAAAUUAUGAUCCCUGCAAAUUACUUUUCUGACCACAAAUGUCGCACCUACUCUCAUGAUAAGUUAACCGAGAUCAAGGAGGAUUGGGCUACCUAUAUGGUGGAUGAUGUUUUCGGAAAACAAGAAGCGGUUAUUUUGCCUAGCUAAAUGAUUGUACUCAUGGAUUCAGCGCUUUUGGUUUCGUGAAGAAUAGGAGAAUUACUUGGUGCUGCUUUAUUGUCGUUUCUUAUUUUUUAGGUGUUUUUUUUAGAGAAUAUGACUUGUUAUUUUGGGAUUUGGAUUAAAGUAUCGUACUCUUAGAUUGGAUGCAUGCAUCUAUAAGUUUGGCUAUGCAAAUGCCCUCUUAUUUUUAAGUACAUUAAACCCUCUAUAUAUGUUAUGAUAUUUGUAAACAAGA